AACGAACGCUGGCGGCAGGCUUAACACAUGCAAGUCGAGCGCUCCGCAAGGGGAGCGGCAGACGGGUGAGUAACGCGUGGGAAUCUACCCAUCUCUACGGAAUAACGCAUGGAAACGUGUGCUAAUACCGUAUACGUCCUUCGGGAGAAAGAUUUAUUGGAGAUGGAUGAGCCCGCGUUGGAUUCGCUAGUUGGUGGGGUAAAGGCCUACCAAGGCGACGAUCCAUAGCUGGUCUGAGAGGAUGAUCCGCCACACUGGGACUGAGACACGGCCCAUACUCCUACGGGAGGCAGCAGUGGGGAAUAUUGGACAAUGGGCGCAAGCCUGAUCCAGCCAUGCCGCGUGAGUGAUGAAGGCCCUAGGGUUGUAAAGCGCUUUCACCGGUGAAGAUAAUGACGGUAACCGGAGAAGAAGCCCCGGCUAACUUCGUGCCAGCCGCCGCAGUAAUAC
rnacentral:rRNA from 1 species